UACAGAGGUGGCAAGCGUUGUUCGGAAUUACUGGGCGUAAAGGGCGAGUAGGCGGCCUUCUAAGUCAGACGUGAAAUCCCCCGGCUUAACCUGGGAACUGCGUCUGAUACUGGGAGGCUCGAGUAUGGGAGAGGGAUGUAGAAUUCCAGGUGUAGCGGUGAAAUGCGUAGAUAUCUGGAGGAAUACCGGUGGCGAAGGCGGUAUCCUGGACCAUUACUGACGCUGAAUCGCGAAAGCUAGGGGAGCAAACGGGG
rnacentral:rRNA from 1 species